CCUACGGGGCGCAGCAGUGAGGAAUAUUGGUCAAUGGGCUUACGCCUGAACCAGCCAAGCCGCGUGAGGGAGGAAGGUACAGAGUAUCGUAAACCUCUUUUGUCAGGGAACAAAGACUGGGACGCGUCCCCGGAUGAGUGUACCUGAAGAAAAAGCAUCGGCUAACUCCGUGCCAGCAGCCGCGGUAAUACGGAGGAUGCGAGCGUUAUCCGGAUUUAUUGGGUUUAAAGGGUGCGCAGACGGUCUGUUAAGCCAGCGGUCAAAGCCCGGGGCUCAACCCCGGCCCGCCGUUGAAACUGGCAGUC
rnacentral:rRNA from 1 species